AGUAAGGAUCUGAAGCCCCGUUAGAAGUUUUUGUGCACCCUGAAAGGAGCGAAUUGCCUGUAGCAAGUCCUUGAGCUUUUUGUGUCGGGUGUGACUUUUGGUGCACCGUGUAACUUGUUGCUCUGAACCUGAGAUUGUUAACUGAAUAUUCAGACUCUUUACCGAA